UUUCAUAGAAAUGAAUGGGGACGCCAUCUUGGAAGACAAAAGUAGCUUACUCUAGUUAUAUUAACUCUAUGAUUAAUCCGCGCCUGAUGAAAACGUAAUUUCUCGUGCGUUUAGUCAGCUUUGUUACAGCGGAACACAGAGGUACAUGAUCACACUGUCCCUAGUGGUAGGAUGGAGAUUUAGCAUGUCACCCCAAUGCAGAAGGGCCUGGCUGCCCUUGUGACUCAGAUCCUCUUGCUGUAGUAGUAACAGAUAGAACUUCCUUUCUUGGUGAAGGUUGUAUUGGUAUGGGAGGGGAGCAGAAGGUUGAGAUGGUCAGAGUGAAACAUUUCUGUCAUUUGCCAUUUAGUGUUACAUAUCUCCUGUUUGAGUAUAUCUCCUCUCAAUCUUUAAGUCUCUCACUACUCUUGCUCUCUACUUUUUUGAAUGUCUCUCUGUCUCUCUCUCACCUCGAUCAGCUCGUCACCAUUCACUUCAGCGGUGUACAAAUAGAUAUUUGAUUUUCAGCUUCCCUUCUUCAUGGAUUAUUUAUAGGAAGUUGAGGAGUAAAUACAGGAAAUGGAAGGGUAAAUAAAGUGGUCUGAUAAACACAAACACAGUAGUAAAAAACAACUUCCUGUCCACAAAGUAAUUAUUGGUUACAAAUGAAUAAUUAAUUACCAUGAACUUGACACGGUUGACAGACGUCAGCUCACAGUGCUCCGGCAGUGAAGCCGUUUGUCCAGCUGCGGUUCUUGAACUGUUUGGUCAAGGUGAAGUCAUCAUUCUGGUUGAUCUCGGUCACCAUGUCCUCAAUACCCUUCUCGACGAGGUCCUUAGUGAGCACUACGAAAGGGAUCACAGGACUGAUACUAAGACCAGGUGAAACAUAGGACUUCAGCAAAGCACAGGACUGUGUUUUGGUGUGUGAUUUAUUUUUCUCUUUGUUUCAGUGACAAAAAAAGUCAAUCUGAGAACACAAGAAAUUCAAGAACAAAACUAUACAUCAGUAAAUAACCUACCAUGCAGUUGCAUAUACUCAUCAAAGUUCUCCUUUCUCACCACUGGUAUUUCCCGGUGAAGGACAUGGCUGAUUAGAGGAGCUUAGUCGGAGGAGAAGAUGGGGAUCUCAAUGUGUCUCCGCAGACUGGUGCAGAACUGUGGUUCUCUCCAUGUUUUAUACCUCCUGACUUCUGUGGUAGAAGCACCCAGCCCCAACCAGCUCCUGCCCUCCCCUCCUCAAACACACAAAUGAUUCAACAAAAAUCCAGGCCAGGAGAAAUAACAACUGGUAUUUAUCUGUCCUGCCAUGCUGGUUUCAAAUAGACCCAGCUUGAACCUCACCAGCUCCUGCUCUUCAAUGUUCAAGAGAACGUAUGAAGUGGAGUCGGUGGAUUAGAGGGAUGAGUUCCACGAGGCCAUGCCAUGGGCUCAGGUAAACCCGAGACCAUGGAAAGGGGGACGGAGCUGUCUCAAACCGGAAUCGAAAUCACCUGGACUCAGCCCCAAGGUCCAAGAAACUGGACAAACAAGUUCACAAUUGGCAAGGAGUGCGAGCUUACCACCAAAAGAGGGUUGAUUUUCAAGUUCAGGCUAUUCCCGCCUACAUGAUGGGGGCACUUAUCGUCCAGUUUCCUGCCUUCCUCUUUACAGCACAGAUAGUUGAAGGAAAGCUAAUUGAGAACUACACUCCACCUGGGGAGAAAGUAGCGACCAUGAAGAAAGUCAGCAUUCAAAUCUAAAACCGUUGGUCUACAUUCUCACCACUGGGGGGCGGGUGUCUGAUAUCUCAAUGCUUGAUAUGUGAUUGAAACAGCGACAUCUACCGCCUGUUCGGGUUGUAGGCUAACGCUGGGAGAAUUAACUGUCCCUCACCCAAAUAUUUUUGUGCUUCUUAACCAAAAACUGGAAAUCUAAUCGUCCCUGAUGUCAGCAAUCACAUCAUACAUUUUCUUUACUGCUUUACUAGAGUAAAACUGCUGUGAAUAAAAAAUAAAAAUAAAUAAUUGCCAUUGUUGUUUGUACUUUCUCUAGAGAACUAAGCAGCCAAUACUCAGGGAUCAUGCUGACCAGAGGGCCAGUUCCUCAGCACGUGCAUACAGACAACACCACCCCAACACAACGGCAGGGUGACGAGACCAUGAAUACCCUCCCUCUUCCUCUCCACCCAGCAGACAAAUUCAAACGAGUUAGCUAAGCCCCCUCCCUGCCCUGGAAACACAAGCUGGGGAGAGAAUGAUCCAUUAUCAAGACACUGACCCUUCUCCUAUCUCCAUCCAUCCCCUCACACAGAUGGUUUGUGUGACUGAUAGAAUACAAUCCUCUUCACUCACUGACCAAGAAAACUCAUCCACCAAUCACUUCUAAGUUCUCACAGUGGUGUUGAUUCCAGUGCCUCUGACCUCUGUAACAGCUAGAUAUGCCAUAACUAUUGCCUACAGUACAAAGAGUAGCACAUUAUUUUAUAUAUGUUAAUCCAAACAGUCGUGAAGCUGUAUAUGCUGAGUUCAAGUAACACUGCAGACAACAAGCUGGAAGGAAAACAGUUGAACUAAAACGUUUGGAAAAAAACAUGCCACAGCAUAUCAUCUGUUUAAAAUGUAAAUCGCAGCCAGUGGUUUUGUCUUCAAUUCACACAAGGCUGGUUCUCAGAGCACAUGGAAAUGCGGGGAUGGUCUUGGCCAGGGCCCUGUUCAACACCACAGUGACCCCCUCACUAGGAGCCACACUAAAGAGAGGCUGGAUUGUCCAGAGCACAGUGGAACACCAGGGUCCACUCAGAGACCCACUCAGAGACAUGCAGGGCCACCGUGCUACAA